UUACGACUACAUAUCAGGCAUAUCAAUAAGCGGAGGAAAAGAAACUAACUAGGAUUCCCUCAGUAACGGCGAGUGAAGCGGGAAGAGCUCAAAUUUGAAAUCUUCAGGGUUUUACUUGACGAAUUGUAGUUUAAAGAAGUGUUUUCUGUUGGUGUUUUGGUAAAAGUUCUUUGGAAUAGGACAUCAUAGAGGGUGAGAAUCCCGUAUUUGACCAUUACUUCCAGCGUUGUGAUACACUUUCAAAGAGUCGGAUUGUUUGGGAAUGCAGUCCAAAAUGGGUGGUAAAUUUCAUCUAAAGCCAAAUAUUGGCGAGAGACCGAUAGCGAACAAGUACCGUGAGGGAAAGAUGAAAAGAACUUUGAAAAGAGAGUUAAACAGUACGUGAAAUUGUCAAAAGGGAAGCGUUUGACACCAGUGUUGUUUUCUCGAAAAUCAAUUAAAAAGAAGUUGGAUUUUGUAUUGUUAAGACCUUAUCAGCUUACUGUACUUUUUUCUUGCUCUUUUUAAUGCACUUUUCGUUUAACAAGUCAACAUCAAUUUCUUUUGUUGUAAAAGGGUCAUUGGAAGGUGGCUUUCACUUCGGUGAAAGUGUUUAUAGCCUUUGACUUCUACAAUCGGAGAGAUUGAGGUCUGCAGCGUAGAUCCUUCGGGGUUAGAUACAGUUAGAUGCUAAGUUAUAGUUUUUCAUAGACAACAUGUUGACUAUGAUUAAUCAUGUAGCUUACUCGCUUAUGCUAUUUUACCUACGCUUAGGAUGUUGAUCUCUCACAGUCGAGC
rnacentral:rRNA from 1 species